rnacentral:rRNA from 1 species
CGACGUGAGCAAUCUGCCUUUGGAUGGGGGAUAACAGCCGGAAACGACUGCUAAUACCGCAUAAUGCAGCGGGACCGCAUGAUUUUGCUGCCAAAGAUUUAUCGUCCAAAGAUGAGCUCGCGUCUGAUUAGCCAGUUGGCGGGGUAACGGCCCACCAAAGCGACGAUCAGUAGCCGGACUGAGAGGUUGAACGGCCACAUUGGGACUGAGACACGGCCCAGACUCCUACGGGAGGCAGCAG